rnacentral:ncRNA from 12 species
UAGGGCAAGUCCUACUCUCCUUUACAAAGAGAACGUUUAUAUGUAAUUGUAUGUUUGAUUGGGGCAAUACUAUAUCUAUUUAUAUAGAAAAAGAACUAUAUUUAUUGAAAUAAUAAAAGGUUCGAGCAGGUUAACAAGCAUUAAUACUAAAUGUGUUUCAUCGUCUACUUAUUGCUAAAUUAUAAUUGAUUGUUCAUCAAAAAAGCAAUUCGUUAGUUGGGUUAAAAUCGUUGUAAAGCAGAUUUGUUUAUAUAUUUAAUUUUUGUAUAUAGUUAAAAAUUAAUAUUAGUACGCAAGGAUUCAUUAUUUGUAAUUUAAAUAUAUUA